rnacentral:rRNA from 1 species
AUUGAACGCUGGCGGCAUGCCUUACACAUGCAAGUCGAACGGUAACGGGCCUUCGGGUGCCGACGAGUGGCGAACGGGUGAGUAAUACAUCGGAACGUGCCCGAUCGUGGGGGAUAACGAGGCGAAAGCUUUGCUAAUACCUCAUACGAUCUACGGAUGAAAGCCGGGGACCGCAAGGCCUUGCGCGGACGGAGCGGCCGCUGGCAGAUUAGGUAGUUGGUGGGAUAAAAGCUUACCAAGCCGACGAUCUGUAGCUGGUCUGAGAGGAUGAUCCGCCACACUGGGACUGAGACACGGCCCAGACUCCUACGGGAGGCAGCAGUGGGGAAUUUUGGACAAUGGGCGCAAGCCUGAUCCAGCCAUGCCGCGUGCAGGAUGAAGGCCUUCGGGUUGUAAACUGCUUUUGUACGGAACGAAAAGCCUUCUUUUAAUACAGGAGGGUCAUGACGGUACCGAAAGAAUAAGCACCGGCUAACUACGUG